UACAGAGGUCUCAAGCGUUGUUCGGAUUCAUUGGGCGUAAAGGGUGCGUAGGCGGCGCGGUAAGUCGGGUGUGAAAUCUCGGGGCUUAACUUCGAAACUGCAUUCGAUACUGCCGUGCUUGAGGACUGGAGAGGAGACUGGAAUUUACGGUGUAGCGGUGAAAUGCGUAGAUAUCGUAAGGAAGACCAGUGGCGAAGGCGGGUCUCUGGACAGUUCCUGACGCUGAGGCACGAAGGCCAGGGGAGCAAACGGG
rnacentral:rRNA from 1 species